GCGGUGCUGCAAGGCGUAUGCUUACAUAACUCAGGCGCCCGCCUCCGAAAACCACCUCACAAUCAGCGUCUUGAGGCAUUUCUUGCUUGCCUCACUAUGAGGCAGGCCGUAAGACGAGUUUCAAUUGUAUUAUUUAAAUCCAUGCAUAUAAUGGCCUUAGUGAGUUGACGUAGAGGGUAUCUUGCGGCAAGCUGCAGAUGUUGAUGAUGUUGAACGUCGAAUAAGAGAUUAUGAACAGGGGAAAAGCGACUUUUCUCCUGAGGAGGAUCCACAUGUGAUAGCCGACUGUGUCAAGUAUGUUAUUCGGGAAUUACCAUCGUCACCAGUACCUGCUUCUUGCUGCAAUGCACUCCUUGAAGCAUUUAGUAAGUUGUUUUUCUUUUCUUCAUUUUUAUUUAUUUAUUUAUUAUUAUUUUAUUUUUUCUGGUAUCUUGGAGUUUGAUUUCUUUUAUCCUGUUUUUCUUACAUUUUAAGUGAAAUAUUGAGUAGUUGAAGAAAAAUGGAGAAGGGAAUUCACUUUCUUUCAUCAAUGAAAAAGUAUGUGCAUAAUUCUCUUGAUGGCAUAGUGUAUUUGUUGGAUUAAAUACUGGCCAUUUAAUGAUUGCAUGUUAAACUCAAAUCUCCUUUCAUUUAGUU